GCCGAAUCGUGACGCAAAACACGGCUUGUCUCGAAUCCCGCUAAAAUAAGGGUGUUUAUCCCGAAUCCCGACAGUUAUUUUCGGCCCAUCCCAGUGUCCCGAAAAUACCCGUUCUCCCCCUCAUACAUAGUAGACCAUAUUGUCACAUUGAUGUUUUCUUUCAUUACAGUUAGACUUCGAGAUCUACAUUUUCGACAAAGGCCUGGUGUAAUAUUACGUACUUGAUGAAGGUUUAAUGACACGAAUGAGUACAAGUACAUUGCAUUUUUCGACGAAGGCCUUCUGUAAUUUCAUACGCUUCUUACGCAACAUUCAAUAGAUUUAUUUACUGUAUUAUCAUUUCGACCAAGGCGAAUUCGACACUUCAAUUACACAAGGUUAGUAACUUUUGUUCACAAAAUCCAAAUGGAGGCAAAUACAGAACAAUCAAACUUAGUCAUUCCAGUCAGUUACUGAAGCACAGUGAAAACUGUCGGGAGCAGUGCAACUGAUGGCAUGUCAAACUUCCAGUGACUGUCCCUGUCCAUAUAUUUCAAGACAGUACAAAUCUUGUAAUAAUUUUGUUUCUGCAAUGUACGUUAUUAUGUAUCAUUUCAGCACAAUCAAACUUAGUCAUUCCAGUCAGUUACUGAAGCACAGCGAAAACUGUCUGAAUUAGUGCUGCUGAUGGCAUGUAAUUACUCUACUACCACUACCAGUGACAGUCAAUGUCCAUAUAUUUUCAAGUGUGCGAAAUUAGUACUCGUCUACUUCUUAGUGUUAUUUGAAUGCAAUGUAUGUUAUAAAAAUAUUUUUUCAACACUAUAUCAACAUUCUCAUUCCUGUCAGUUUCUGAAAAUCAGCUAAAGCAAUCGCUACCAAUGCAGCUGAUAACAGCAAUUCUUUUUGUUCCCAAUGCCCAUCCAUGACAAUAUAUUUCACGCAUGUGACAAUCAUGUAAUCAUCCUGUUUUUUGUGUUCUAUUCAUGCAAUAAAUAAAUUCAGUAUUUUCAAAUCAUUGGUGCUACAAAACUAUUCUCAUUAUAGAUUAUUCAUAUUUUUAUAAAAUGCUGUCAUGUCAAAUUUUGUGUCCUAUAAAUCAUUAUGAAGUCGGCAUUUUAUAUACAACUUUUGUACUCCUCCUAAAUAAACAUACAAAUCUUGUUUUAUGUAAACUUUGUAUAUGUGACCCGUCACAGCAAAACCAGGCGCAUGUCGCUCUGAGCUUGGCAGGUUGAGACGGACUGUUUGUUCAUUUAUCUAUUGUCUGCCUUUUGUAAAAUAUGAGCACAUCAAUUUCUUCCAUUAUCUCCUGGUGUCAUUUAGGCUCAUCUUCUGUGCGACAUGUACCUGGUUUUGCUGUGACGGGUCACAUAUUCUAUAGAUAUACAACACUCUAAUGUCACAAUGCCUCUCUCACUCGCUUUUAUAUAGCAAGAUGUAUGAAUAAACAUGACACACCAACUAUGUACAAAAUUGCUAACAAACUGCACCAUUUGUCAGUACACCACAUGAAAUACAGAGAUAUGUCUUAAUUCUAAUCUUUCAUUAGCGACACCAUUUCUUACCCGAGUGCCUCCUUCAUUCAUACAUCUUGUACUUUAACUCAAGAUACCCAUCUUUGAAUAUUUUUAGUAUACCAAGUACUACAAUGUCAAUGUAUUGAAGUCAUGUUCUUGUAGUGUUAUUGGCUUUCUAUUAUCUUGUCAAAAUACCGCUUGGUUCUCGCAAAAUCUCAAUAAAAACAAAUGCUAUUGCAUGUAUUGCAUAUUCUAACAGCUAUCCACUGUAUCGAUUUAUCCAUCAUCUGUACUAUUUGUCACAAAAAUGUUAUAUUAUGUAAAUCAUAUUUCAUUACAUAAUGCACACUGCCAAUUACUGCUGAACCAUUCAUAUGUCA